UAUGGAAUCAUCAAAUGUGUAACGGAUCUAAUUGGACUUCUUCUUGGCAUGGAAUUCAGCAAGCGUUACAAGAAGUGGACUCCUAAAAUAGACGCAGUAUUGUGUGGAAUAGGGCUCAGCGUCUGUGCCCCCAUGCUUAUGGCGUUUAUAUUCUUCCCAGGGAUCAACAUUCCCAUUGCCUAUGUGAGUAUUAUCAGUCUGUUCUUUAUGGCUGUAAAUUUAGAGGCACUUAUAUAUAAUAAUGCACAUGGAUUUCUCCUGUUAUAUUUGAUCUGCUAUUUAUGAGAAAUUAGAUUAUAUUAAUUGUCAAUUCUUCUUACUCUUCCAUUUUUUAUUUUUCCAGGUUUUCAUUGCCAUCUCUGGAGCAUUUCAAGCUAUAUGCCAAGUCCCGUUGCUUAACAUGAAACUGAACAUAGUGAGCCCAAAACUACGUGAGACAGCCAAUAUUUUCCAUCAGUUCUUCUCUAAGCUGUUAGGAACUGUCGGGCACAUAUUCUUUGUUCAAUUGGUCUCUGCAGAAAUACAGCAGAUCAGUCCUCAUGCCACUAAGCUGAGCAAUAUGCAGUAUUCGCUGGCAUUUUUACCAUUGGUGGCAGUGAUUGGAUCGUUAUUAUUCUUUAUAAUGGCAUAUUGCAUAAAGGAGAAACAGAUAAUGGCAGAAGAGGCAAUAGCUGUCAUCAGCCAGAAAUAACCAGACAAACUGAACAGAACAUCCAGGGCUGUGACACAGAAAUUUGAUCUUCAUUGUUUGGAGAAGCAAUCAAAACCCCUUCAUAAUUCGUCAGUCUGUAACGCAGACCAAGGCCUCAAUUCUGCACUGAAAAGACUGUGUGGGAAUUAUAGACAUUCACAGAAUUGCAGGGAGACUGAGUAUUCCCUGUGAAGAUUUCAUUAUGUAACAGUUGUACGUCACCAGUGUAGAACAUGCGGAGAACUGCCAUGAAUGUGC